rnacentral:rRNA from 1 species
GGAGGCAGCAGUGAGGAAUAUUGGUCAAUGGCCGAGAGGCUGAACCAGCCAAGUCGCGUGAGGGAAGAAUGUCCUAAGGAUUGUAAACCUCUUUUGUCGGGGAGCAAAAAGGCUCUGCGGAGUCGUAUUGAGAGUACCCGAAGAAAAAGCAUCGGCUAACUCCGUGCCAGCAGCCGCGGUAAUACGGAGGAUGCGAGCGUUAUCCGGAUUUAUUGGGUUUAAAGGGUGCGCAGGCGGCGUGUCAAGCAAGCGGUAAAAUAGCGGGGCUCAACCCCGUCGAGCCGUUUGAACUGGCGCGCUUGAGUUCAGGCGAGGUAGGCGGAAUUCGUGGUGUAGCGGUGAAAUGCAUAGAUAUCACGAAGAACUCCGAUUGCGAAGGCAGCUUACCAGUCUGCGACUGACGCUCAGGCACGAAAGUGUGGGUAUCGAACAGGAUUAGAUACCCUGGUAGUCCACACAGUAAACGAUGAGCGCUAGGUGUCCGGGUCGCAUGAGACUUGG